UUUCAUUUUUGACUAACAAAAUUAUCAAUUGAUUUUCAAACAGUCACGUAAGCAAAAUUAGCAUUCCAAUUACGUGACAAUUCAGUAUGACACUUUUUUAAUUAGUACAAACUACACGUUAUAACUUUUUAAAUGUUUCUCAAUUAAUAUACAGGGGAUAUAACUCACUUAUUUUGAUAUCAUGUUCCUCUGUAUCUAAAUGAUUCAUUUUUAUGUAUUUUAUAUUAAAAAAUACACAUGAAAAAGUGAUUAUAAAUUCAUAAGUAUUAUGUAUAGCUAUUUUUAUAAUUUAAAACUAAUAAUAUCUACAUAAAUACAAUGAAUUUUUAAAAUUUUAAAUUUAUCAUUAUUAUCUGGUAAAAAUUACAUUUUAAAAAGAAGAUGGUUAAUCUCUGACAAAAAAAUGGUUGAUCAAAACAAACACAUGGGCCAGACCAAAUAUUUUAAUAAAGCCUUGGCCCACCAGAUCAGUCAUUUAAUAAACCUUCUUCUUCUUAGGGUUUAUCUAAUAAACGAACAGUGUCAGCUUUUCUCCAAAUGCAAGAUCCGAUUUUGUUCAAGAAACUCUGAUUCUCGCAAAGAAAUGGAUCUUUCUCCCAGAACAAACAGAAUCUACGAUUUUCUCAGCAAAGCAUAUGAGAUGGUUGAUGAUCCUUCCACGGAUAAGAUAAUCUCGUGGGGACCAAACGGAACAUCGUUCAUAGUCUGGAAACCGCUAAAAUGUUAAAGAGACCUUCUUACACGACACUUGGGAAUCACAAACUUUGUAAGAUUCGAGGGAUAUGGAUUUAGCAAGAUCAGUGUGUCUGGAGGACAACAGUUGGAGUUUGUAUGCGAUGACUUCGUGAAGGGACACCCUGAACUUUUGGAGAAGAUUGGUGAUCGCUACAUGGCCAAGUUGAGAGCUUUUCAUGAGAAGAGGUACAAGCCUUUUGAGGAUCGGCUUAAAAACGCCAAGACCAAGGAAGAGUGGGAUCUAGCAGUGAAGGAGCAGAAGGAGUUUUUUAAAAAUGAUUGUAAGGAGAGAAGGGAGAGCAGGCUGAGGAUGGAGAGCUCUCCACUAGCUCCGGAGAAUCAAGUGCAGAGUAAUGGAACUUGAUCAGCUUAAUCCUCCUCCUCUCCAUCUUUGUAAAAACCUUUUUAUGUAUUGGAUUUCUCUACUUUGGUUAUGUUUCUAAACAAGAACUCUCUGUGUUGGAUUCUGGUUGUUUUGUUUCCACUUGAACCCUACUCAUCUUGUUAA